AGAGUUUGAUCCUGGCUCAGGAUGAACGCUGGCGGCGUGCCUAAUACAUGCAAGUAGAACGCUGAAGCUUGGUGCUUGCACCGAGCGGAUGAGUUGCGAACGGGUGAGUAACGCGUAGGUAACCUGCCUCUUAGCGGGGGAUAACUAUUGGAAACGAUAGCUAAUACCGCAUAAAAGACGAUAUCGCAUGAUAUUGAUUUGAAAGGUGCAAUUGCAUCACUAAGAGAUGGACCUGCGUUGUAUUAGCUAGUUGGUGAGGUAACGGCUCACCAAGGCGACGAUACAUAGCCGACCUGAGAGGGUGAUCGGCCACACUGGGACUGAGACACGGCCCAGACUCCUACGGGAGGCAGCAGUAGGGAAUCUUCGGCAAUGGGGGGAACCCUGACCGAGCAACGCCGCGUGAGUGAAGAAGGUUUUCGGAUCGUAAAGCUCUGUUGUUAAGGAAGAACGUGUGUGAGAGUGGAAAGUUCACACAGUGACGGUACUUAACCAGAAAGGGACGGCUAACUACGUGCCAGCAGCCGCGGUAAUACGUAGGUCCCGAGCGUUGUCCGGAUUUAUUGGGCGUAAAGCGAGCGCAGGCGGUUAGAUAAGUCUGAAGUGAAAGGCAGUGGCUCAACCAUUGUAGGCUUUGGAAACUGUUUAACUUGAGUGCAGAAGGGGAGAGUGGAAUUCCAUGUGUAGCGGUGAAAUGCGUAGAUAUAUGGAGGAACACCGGUGGCGAAAGCGGCUCUCUGGUCUGUAACUGACGCUGAGGCUCGAAAGCGUGGGGAGCGAACAGGAUUAGAUACCCUGGUAGUCCACGCCGUAAACGGUGGACGCUGGAUGUGGGGCACGUUCCACGUGUUCCGUGUCGGAGCUAACGCGUUAAGCGUCCCGCCUGGGGAGUACGGCCGCAAGGCUAAAACUCAAAGAAAUUGACGGGGGCCCGCACAAGCGGCGGAGCAUGCGGAUUAAUUCGAUGCAACGCGAAGAACCUUACCUGGGCUUGACAUGUUCCCGACGACGCCAGAGAUGGCGUUUCCCUUCGGGGCGGGUUCACAGGUGGUGCAUGGUCGUCGUCAGCUCGUGUCGUGAGAUGUUGGGUUAAGUCCCGCAACGAGCGCAACCCUCGCCCCGUGUUGCCAGCACGUUAUGGUGGGAACUCACGGGGGACCGCCGGGGUUAACUCGGAGGAAGGUGGGGAUGACGUCAGAUCAUCAUGCCCCUUACGUCCAGGGCUUCACGCAUGCUACAAUGGCCGGUACAGCGGGAUGCGACAUGGCGACAUGGAGCGGAUCCCUGAAAACCGGUCUCAGUUCGGAUCGGAGCCUGCAACCCGGCUCCGUGAAGGCGGAGUCGCUAGUAAUCGCGGAUCAGCAACGCCGCGGUGAAUGCGUUCCCGGGCCUUGUACACACCGCCCGUCAAGUCAUGAAAGUGGGCAGCACCCGAAGCCGGUGGCCUAACCCCUUGUGGGAUGGAGCCGUCUAAGGUGAGGCUCGUGAUUGGGACUAAGUCGUAACAAGGUAGCCGUACCGGAAGGUGCGGCUG
rnacentral:rRNA from 1 species